rnacentral:rRNA from 1 species
UGGGGAAUAUUGCGCAAUGGGCGAAAGCCUGACGCAGCCACGCCGCGUGAGCGAUGAAGGCCUUCGGGUUGUAAAGCUCUGUGGGGAGAGAAGAAGAAAGCAAGUGAAGAGCGGGCCUUGACGGUAUCUCCUUAGCAAGCACCGGCUAACUCCGUGCCAGCAGCCGCGGUAAUACGGAGGGUGCAAACGUUGCUGGGAAUCAUUGGGCGUAAAGCGCACGUAGGCGGCGAAGCAAGUCGGGUGUGAAAGCCCUGGGCUCAACCCAGGAAGUGCAUUCGAAACUAUUUCGCUUGAAUCUCGGAGGGGGUCAGAGAAUUCCCGGUGUACCCAUGAAAUUCGUAGAUAUCGGGAGGAAUACCAGUGGCGAACACGCUGACCUGGACUCAGCUUGACGCUAAGGUGCGAAAGCGCGGGGAACAAACA